GAUGAACGCUAGCUACAGGCUUAACACAUGCAAGUCGAGGGGCAGCGGUAUCGAAAGCUUGCUUUCGGUAGCCGGCGACCGGCGCACGGGUGAGUAACGCGUAUCGAACCUGCCUCAUACUCGGGAAUAGCCUUGCGAAAGUAAGAUUAAUGCCCGGUGUUUUCAGAGUCCCGCAUGAGGCUUUGAACAAAGAUUUAUCGGUAUGAGAUGGCGAUGCGUCCCAUUAGCUUGUUGGCGGGGUAACGGCCCACCAAGGCAUCGAUGGGUAGGGGUUCUGGGAGGAAGGUCCCCCACAUGGGAACUGAGACACGGUCCAAACGCCUACUGGAGGCAGCAGUGAGGAAUAUUGGUCAAUGGGCGGAAGCCUGAACCAGCCAAGUAGCGUGCAGGAAGACGGCCCUCCGGGUUGUAAACUGCUUUUAGUUGGGAAUAAAACGGGGCUCGUGAGCCCCCUUGCAUGUACCAUCAGAAAAAGGACCGGCUAAUUCCGUGCCAGCAGCCGCCGUAA
rnacentral:rRNA from 1 species